rnacentral:rRNA from 1 species
AUUGAACGCUGGCGGCAGGCUUAACACAUGCAAGUCGAGCGAGUGGCGGACGGGUGAGUAAUGUAUGGGAAACUGCCUGAUGGAGGGGGAUAACUACUGGAAACGGUAGCUAAUACCGCAUACCAUUAGAGGGGCCCAGAUGGGAUUAGCUAGUAGGUUGGGUAAUGGCUCACCUAGGCGACGAUCCUUAGCUGGUCUGAGAGGAUGACCAGCCCCACUGGCACUGAGACACGGUCCAGACUCCUACGGGAGGCAGCAGUGGGGAAUAUUGCACAAUGGGCGCAAUCCUGAUGCAGCCAUCCCGCGUGUGUGAAGAAGGCCUUCGGGUUGUAAAGUACUUUCAGCGAGGAGGCGUUACCCGCAGAAGAAGCACCGGCUAACUCCGUGCCAGCAGCCGCGGUAAUUC